ACUGGCAGGUAGGAUGCUAGGCAGCAGGUAACCCUUAUUUCAAUCUCUCAGCACAGAAUUAUCGAAGAAAUAUCUCCUUCUUCUUCCCCUCUAAAAACAUACAUUUCCAAAAUAGUGGAACUUGUUUACUUAAAGUGGAAUCUUCCAUGUGAGCACCUUAAUCAAUCUUCAGAAACACAAGGGAGACUCCAAUGCCAAAUAAAGGCUAUAAAUCUAAAUUGUUUGGCAUAAUAAAGAUGAGAUGGAGCAAGUGACUAAGCAGAGGAGUUGAAAAAUGAGUCUGGCUCUGUUGUCCAGGCUGGAGUGCAGUGGCAUGAUCUCUGCUCACUGCAACCUCUACCUCCCAGGUUCAAGCAAUUCUCUGCCUCAGCCUCCCGAGUAGCUGCCUUACAGGCACCUGCCACCACACCCAGGUACUCAGGCUCCGGACGGAACAGAGAAAAUCCCCUAGACAAGCACCAUCCUACAGCAACAUAAUGCCAACCACAAAUGUGUGCAACGUAUGUCAUUGAACAGUUUUUAGUAGACACAUUAAAUAAAGUAAACCAAAGUAGGU